ensembl:snRNA U6 U6 spliceosomal RNA
GUGCUUGCACACAUACUGAAAUUGGAAUGAUAUGGAGAAGAUUAGCAAAGCUCUGAGCAAAGAGGACAUAGAAAUUCCUUUAGACACAAAUAAAUAUC